AAAGGAUCUCCAGAGAUCAUCAAGUGUAACCUGAAUCGAUUAAAGUAUCAAUAUCUUUCAGUAAGUUCAUAGCUUCUGAGCUGUUUUUAUUAUUUUGUGGGUUUCCCCUACUUCCCUUAUCAAAUAGCAGUCAGAACAUUCAAGCAUGCUCUUGGGAGGACAUCUGGCUUUGAACUGAUGUGCUCACCUUCAGCUGAAAGAAAGGAAAAAUGCAUGGUAUACUGAAGCAGAGGGCCCCCUACUGAGGCUGUUGCUGUUUCUCUGAGUUUUACUGUACUAUUCUGAACCAUUGCAAAACCCAGUGGAAACACGAAGACCACGAAGACACGAAGAACAGAGCCAGUGAGAAGGCAAUAAUGUCUUGCUGGAGUUUGAGCAGAAUUUCCCUGCACUAAGAAGACUGCAGAGAUGGUGGUGCCUGUGGAGUCAGCUCACCGAGAGAUAUUGGUAAUGUCACUCUCUGGGGAACUCUGCUGGCUUAGCAGAUCCUCGAACAAGCAGCUGGGGCAAAGCAGUGAGCAACUGGAGUCACUUUCAAUGUCCUGGAGACCUGUACACGAUCACACUCAGGAGCUCUUCCCUGUUUCACUGCCCUGCAAUUCAUUUCAGGCAUCUGCCCCUGUCACGUAAGGUGAGCAGCUCACCUGAAGGAUGCACAGCUGGGCAAGGACCGACCGCAGGUGCCUGCAUCUGUUAGGAAACCAGCAUGCCUGCUCACCCAUCGCGCCAGAGAAAGAAAUGAACCUGGACAGUGCUAAUGAAUGACAUGAUGCUCUGUGAUUGAACUGCUCUCCUGUCAUAGAGGUUGGUGGGACUGAUCCAUAAACAGGAGGUGACGUGAGGAAAUGGGAGUCCUUAUUCAAGAGCAGACAGAGCCAAAGUCAUUCCCACUGCACACACCCCAAAUGUUUAUCAUAUUGUCUCCUUCUGCAAAGUGGAGAAACAAAAGCACUUGAUGAAUGGAUCCAAACGCUCUGUUUCAUAUGUGUUAUGUAGCAAAAUUUUCACCGCAGGGCUCUUAUGCUGUAAAGUUGCACGCUUUGCUGUUUCUGCUG